rnacentral:lncRNA from 1 species
AAAAGGAAAGGCGGAGAGGCAGGGGAAGAGCUGGCUCCCCUCACUCCAGUGCCUGGUUGGAGGUAAACAGCCUCCCUGGGCCAGGAGGGAAGGGGCAACCUUCAAAGGCAGAAAAGAUAUAUAUAUAUAUCUUAGUGGACUACAUAUAUGCAUGGGGUCCUUGGAGUCCAGAAGAGGGCAUCGGACUUCCUGGAACUCUCCUGGAGUCACAGAUGGUCCUGAGUCACCAUGCAAGUGCUGGGAACUGAAACUGAGUCCUCUCUGAAAGAGCAGAAAGUCCCUUUAACCACUGAGCCAUCUCUCCAGCCCCACCAUGGUGAGGACUUUUAAAUCAUCAGAAUUCUGCUUGUUUGCUUCAACAGCCAGAACCCUGUGACCACAGAUGAAAAGCAAACAGAUCCCAAGUUAACUGAAGGGAUAGAAAGCAUCAACAGGGACACUUGGUAGUUGGCUGACUCUGGAGUAGUGAGGUAACUGUCAAAGGUAUUAUGUGUGCAUACAUGUAUAGAUGUGUAUAUGGAGGAUUAAAAAGGGGGAUAAACUUACUCCUUCCUUGAGUGGGGCCUUCCUAUGUUUCACCUUUAUAUGUUUAGUUCGAUGUGUGGAUUGUAUUAGGUGUGUAGUUACACGUUUUUAUGUUUUAAGAGGUGAUACUCUUUCCUCUUGGAUGAAUACUUUACCCAGAAUUUCAAAGUACAAUACAGAUAGAAGAGAAAUUCACCUUGGAUGCUCC